rnacentral:rRNA from 1 species
GGGAGUCAGACUGCACGAGAUAAGUUGGGUGGUCAAAAGGGAAAGAGCCCAGACCUACAGCUAAGGUCCCAAAGUGUGUGUUAAGUGGAAAAGGAUGUGGGAUUUCGAAGACAACUAGGAUGUUGGCUCAGAAGCAGCCACACAUUCAAAGAGUGCGUAAUAGCUCACUAGUCGAGAGGUCCUGCGCCGAAAAUGUCCGGGGCUAAAACACAACACCGAAGCUUAGGAAUUCUUUUGAAUUGGUAGAGGAGCAUUGAAGACGGAACGAAGCCAUACCGGAAGGAGUGGUGGACUGUCUUGAAGAGAGAAUGCCGGAAUGAGUAGCGAGAUUGAAGUGAGAAUCUUCAAGGCCGAAUAUCUAAGGUUUCCAGGGUAAAGCUGAUCUGCCCUGGGUAAGUCGGGACCUAAGGCAAGGUCGAAAGACGUAGUCGAUGGAUAACAGGUUGAAAUUCCUGUACUGCAUCAAAUCAGAAAUGUGGGGACACAUGAGGGAAGCAUGAGCCGGAAAAGGAAAGUCCGGUACAAGCGCAGCAGAGGACAGAUAGGCAAAACCGUCUGUCAACUCGAGGGCGUGAUGUGGAGCGAACCAAAGUAGCGAAGCAUGUGGAGCUUGUGUCGAGAAAAGCCGCUAUUGUGUUUGAUGUACCCGUACCGUAAACCGACACAGGUGGAUGAGGAGAGAAUCCUAAGGCCGGCGGGAGAAGCAUUGUUAAGGAACUCGGCAAAAUGACCCCGUAACUUCGGGAGAAGGGGUGCUCUUGAAAAAGAGCCGCAGAGAAUUGGCCCAAGCAACUGUUUAGCAAAAACACAGGUCUAUGCAAAACCGAAAGGUGAGGUAUAUGGGCUGACGCCUGCCCGGUGCUGGAAGGUUAAGAGGAGAGGUUAGCGCAAGCGAAGCUUUGAAUUUAAGCCCCAGUAAACGGCGGCCGUAACUAUAACGGUCCUAAGGUAGCGAAAUUCCUUGUCGGGUAAGUUCCGACCCGCACGAAAGGCGUAAUGAUUUGGGCACUGUCUCGACAAUGCACCCGGUGAAAUUGAAAUACCAGUGAAGAUGCUGGUUACCUGCGCCAGGACGGAAAGACCCCAUGGAGCUUUACUCUAGCUUGAUACUGGGGUUCGGUAUUGCAUGUACAGGAUAGGUGGGAGACUGAGAAGAUGUGUCGCCAGAUGCAUCAGAGUCGAUGUUGGGAUACCACCCCUGCAGUACUGGGCUUCUAACCUGCAGCCGUGACCCGGCUGGGGGACAAUGUCUGGUGGGGAGUUUGACUGGGGCGGUCGCCUCCGAAAGAGUAUCGGAGGCGCUCAAAGGUUCCCUCAGAAUGGUUGGAAACCAUUCGAAGAGUG